ensembl:lncRNA
CCCGGCUACUGCAGUGCAAGAGGUAAUAAAUACCAAGAGCUCUUUACUUUCAUGCUAGGGCUGCAAAGCACACUCUUUACUAUCCAUCUUGUGUGUUAUGUUGGAGGCAGGCAUGCCAGGAAAAUUAAAGUAUGAUAAAGGUUAAUUUAUAACAAGAAGCAGAGAUAUCUCUCUUCCCCUACACUGCUAAAAAAGAGUAGAUUGUGGUUCUGACUGUGGUGAGUUAUGUUGGCAAAGUUUUCACCCUGGCUCUUACUACCAGGGCUAGAAUAAUCCUCAGAAAUGUAUGUUUUGGAUGGCUAUAUAUUUUGGAUGGUCCCACCUCUGAACAGAUAAAAAAUCAAGCUUGGGAUUCUGUAUUAUCAAGACAGUAACAAUGAAUAAAAAAUUGCUUAUGGGAAUCUUAGUGGCUGCACAGCAUUUGAUUGGGUACACGGAGAACCAGAAUCUGGUUAGUAAUUUAUUUAAGUUUUUCUUACUGUAGUAUGUAUGCAAGAAGAAAAAUGAAUUUCAUGUUUCAAUCAUUUUAAUUUGUACAAAUGCAGUAGACAUACAUAAGAUACAUUUUUGUGUCAUUAUUCUUCCUAGAUAUCAGUUUCUCUUUUGCUUCACUUCACAGGAAUCAGUGUCUCUAUUUUUCUAAAGCAAUUCAUCCAUGUCUUCUUCCACAGCAAGGCUUAGUUUGUAGUUGAAGAUUAUGUUGAAUUUACAGAAUAUGUUAAAUUCAUGAUCAUUGAGGUAUUUGCAAAGGAGAUGUAUUGUCAUGUGAAUAUCAAGAAUGUACUUUAUGUACUGCGCUGAUAAGUAACUUCUUGCUUACAAGAUUCAAGUAAUUAUGGAGAGCUGUGAAAAUAGUAGAUUCACUUAGAACUCAAAAGUUAGUAAAUUUAAGUCAUUCUGAUAAUUCUUAAAUCUAACAACAUUUGAUGUCUUAGCAAAAUUUUUAGUUAGCAGUACUUCAUAUCAAGUCUGCCAAACACUGGACUGAGAAAUAAGCAGCUUUUAAAAUUCUUUGAAACAAAGAAGAACUCUACAUAUGAACAGGUAAAUUUUAUAAUGAUGCAUUUUGCAGAGUUUCUGCAUGUAACUUCCCUGCUGUUCUUAGUAACAUUUCUGUUCAUAAAUCCCCAUUCCCUGCUUGUAAGUGUACUACUAUGAGAGAAUUCAUUCAAAGGCAUCAAGAAUUCUUGUGAAAAAUGAAUUUCUUCUCCUGCUUCAGACAGCAGACAGAGUGAAAGUAUCAGGCAUGCAAGUCUUUGCUUCCUUUGCUUUGAAAUAAACAAGUAUUAACACCGCAGCACACCAGAAAGAAAAUCGUCACAUGAGAUUACAGCCUGUCAUUAAAGUCAUGAAUUCUACUCUGUAAAUCUGACCACCAAUUAGACCAUCAUUUCUAGGACAUUUUUAUUUCAUAUCUGUGUGAUACUUCCCAGGACUUCAAUGGACAUUCUUGAACUGAUCAGUGCUUUGGGGCUGACAGUGAAUUUAUUUUCUUGGACUUAACAACUCCAGCUGUCUGCCACUGGCAAUAGAUAUGGAUAACUGUCAUUCAACUAAUUAACUGAAUGUAAGCUUGUUUCUUUGUCAUUAAUGAAUUUCGUAUUCUAAGAUGAAAGUAACAUGAAUCUUCCUGAAUUAACUGACUGGAUGUUUUUUCCAGGGUUUCUAAUCAGCAGAUGUGAUUCCAUCAUGAUGCACUGCAAAAUUUCAUCUAAGGAGCUAGAGAAAACAUCUAGACAUUUUUUUCUGAAGUACAGCAGAUGUUAAAAGAUGAAAAAAAAAAAUAUAAAAACACUUUGCAUCGCAGUAAAGUAAGGAGAGAGCCACAGCUGAGCAGGGAGUACAAUCAUACAGAUGUUCUUUGUAUUCAAAACUCCUCAGCAGUUUAAAGUAACAAAUAAUGCAAUAUCUUGUUUCUUAUAUUCACUUAAUGGAUUGUAUGCAGGCAGUCAAUAAGUAAGACUUACAUAUGGAUGUACAGUGUUAUCAUGACAUGUUGUCUAGAAAAUUUAUGUGUAACACGUGUGUACCUUGCACAUGCCUCUGUUGAUUUAUCUCCACCAUUCUGGGAAAAGCAAUAAGGAAAUAAUGGAAUUGAUAAUAGCUAAAAUUAAUGCAAUAACUUGAUUGCAUUCAAAAUGUGAAUUAAUCCAGGGAUGCUUUUUUUUUUAAUGUUAAUGACUUGACCAAUGUUCUUUAGCCUCACAAUCUUUUUUUUCUUUUUCUUUUUUAAAUUAAAUUCUGCAUAAAGAAGAAAAAUGCAGGAAAAAUAUUCAGACUUCACCAGUCAUUUUUACGUAUUAGUUAAUUUGCAAGUUAAAACGAAUAUACUCCAGAUUUCAGAGUCCAUCAGAGCUACAUAGACAUUACCAGCUUUCCAGAAAUUGGAAGAAGUUCCUGUUAACAGUGGCAAUUUGCUACGUAGACAAUCUAAAGCUGAACUGACCACAGCUGAAAUAAGAAAUGGGCAAAAAAAAUGGAUUUAUACUCGUGACCAAAUUGUUAAAAUAAUAAUAGUUCCUCUAAAAGACACUGCAUUUGGUCAGUUUCUAGAGACUGCAUUUAUUUAUUUAAAACUCAGUGAAAAAGUCAAGCAUUGCUUGAGCUCACUAGUACUUCUCAAAUAACUUCAUACAAUUUGAUUGUUAUCUUUGUGAAAAUAUAUUUCAGUAAAAAUGAAUCGUGCCUAUUUUUAUACCAUUUCACAGUUUGCAUGAAUUUAACGAGCCAAUUGUCUUCUGGCCACCAAUACUUCAAGAUUUUCAUAUUGCCAAAUAACUCAUGCUCUGUCAUACCUAACUCAGUAAAUAAUAAUCACCUCGUAGUACAGCUUGUGUUUACUUUUUGUUUACUUUUUCACUAAAUGAGUUCUCUAAGAUUGCAAAGAAAUGCCAUCUAUUUGUUUUUAGUGAAGCAGUUGCCUUUAUAAGAGGAAAAAUCAGUGGUGUACAGUGCUGCAGUUAGCAUUUAAAAAGCGCUACAGGGUUUUUGUAGAGCAUUAUAAACAGGAUCAUUUUUCAAGGUACAUGCCAAUUGAAGUCAAAUCGGAGAACACAGAGUGUAAAGAAAUGGUUCUUCAAAUAAAAUCUUUUAAUAGUAAAGAAUGUGUAAGUUUCUUCAGCUCUGGAGAUUGCUCUUAACAUUGGCCAUUUUGAUGGUGAGUUAUGAGCUUUUUAUGCACAAGGGAAAAAAAAAAAGGAGGGUGGGGGUGGAGGAGAUAGUAGAUACAAUAAUCCUCCUAAUCAUAGCACAAGCUGAACUUCAACUUUCAACCCUUUCUUCCAAGUUAAAAACUAGCUUCUAAAGCUUUCUAGGAGGCUGAUGCCCUUUUCAAACCACAUUUCAGGUGCAUCAUUCUCACUGAUUUAUACAUACUAAAUGCUGUGUGCCCUAUUCCUUCUGUAUAAAGUUGGAGAAGACAGUGUAAUUUUGCUUUGCAUCCCAGCAACCUUGUUCAUCUCAGGCUGUUUAGACAGUUUUAAGGCUAAUUGCCAGUAUAUUACUUUUGGUCUGAGCUGACAAUAGAUGGGACCUACAGCUAUUGCCAGACCCAGACACACAAGAUAGGGGCGAUCUGAUCUUUAUCUAUGUACAACUCGAGACUCCUCCCCCUUUUUCAUAACAGCAGAGAUGACAGAAACAAGAAGGUGGGACAAGGGGAAUAACAGCAACAAUCCAAGACAGCAGUUCAAACAGUUUGAAAUACCAUGAGAAAAAGCAACUUUCUUGUGUUUGUUUUUUAAAAAAUGCAGAUUGGAAGUGUUUGAGUGUUAGGUGAUUCAGAAUCAUAUUUGGCAGAUUAAAUAGGAUUCACAUUGUAGAACAUACAUAAAGCUGUGUAGGUUUCCUAUAUAUACACAUCGUAAUUCAAGCUACGACUAACAAAAGUAAAAGAUCAGUUACACCAUAACAAGAAUUUUCAGAAGAAUGGAGUAAUAAAGUAGUGAAUUCUUCAGUAGAUAAUGCUAUGGCUGUACAUCCAUAAUCUUCUUAUAGAGGGUGACAUUGUUGGGCAAUAUAUAAUUUGUUUAAACCUCAGUUCUUUUAUUACUUGUACUUGUGGAAAUUUGUUGCUAUCUCUGACAGUGUUUUGAUAAAAUAGGAUUGCAUGCCAAUUGAAGUUCAAAUUUUAAAGGAAAUAGCCCUAAACCUUUCUGAUCAGUGCUGAAAUACAGAACUGUGGUAACUUUGAAAAUCUUGCUUUUGUGAUAUUAUUGAAAAAAAUGCAAAUUAAAUUGUAAAGGAACUGCAUGUUCAGUUCUGCGAUGUAGGUAAUUAGAAAUGAAAAUAAUAACUAUUUAAAGUUAAUAAUGCAGAGAUGUGUAACUCUUGUUUUACUGAUUCAACUAACUUCCAAUCACAGGCUUACUUUUUGUAGAAGUGUUCUGAAAAAAAUUAUAAUUCCUGCUAAAGUUAUGAAACAUGUUAUGUUCCCUCCAUCUUCAAAAGAAUGACUUCCAGUCAUGAUAUCAGAGAAGGAUUAGCAAGGUAGAGAAUACAAGAGCAUUGUACUUACUGCUGGUGUCUUAAGUUACACAAGUUUUUAACUCUUUAACUCCAUAUAUAUUUGGCUCUGCCACUCUAGCAGAGAGACUGCUAGCUGGAGGCAUGAAAUUAGGUUCUGCCACCAGUUUGCUAUACGAUAGACAAGUCAUUCAGUUUCUCUGCGUCUUUUCUUUCCUCUUUGACCUUCUGUUUCUCUCAGGUUUCUUAAUCAUCAAUUCUUGCCUGUUGUUGACAUGAUAAAAGUAGGUAAGACCUACUACAUGAAUGGCUGUCAUCAUUUGUUUAUAAUGUAAAACCUUGUUGGUUUGAUAUUAUACUGCCUGCAAACAUUUUGACAACUAGAAGGAGGCACUUGGAAGCAACUGCAGCACUUGCUUGCAAUGUUCUAAAAAAAUGUGAUUUAAUAUAAAACUGAAGAAGUGAUGGCAGUGACUUUAACAAUGUAUAAACAGUUCUGCCUAAAGAAAGUGCGACUAGUUGUAAAGAUGAAAGGAGUCUUCAGGCACUUGACAGAUUUUGAAACUUUGCUUUGCAUGACUGAACAGAGAGUGCCUGUUUCCUGUAGGUACACUGGAGCAAAGAUGUUCAGGAGCUUCUCACUACUGAAUGUGGAUCUUGGAGACAGCAGUGAAAACAGUAAUGGAAAUUGCCCUCAUAGAGAAGGGACUUUUUGGAAACAAAGGAAAAACAAGCUAAGAAGACAACCACAAAAUGGAAUUUUCUGCAUACUUUCUUUGUAUUCUAUGUGACUCUCUCUAUGUGGCAGUCACUGCCAGAUGAUUUCAGUGAAAUAGGACCUGUUUUAUACUCUGCAAUCAACUUCUAGUAUUCUUUCACCUUCAAGCAGGCAGGUAUGACAAAUACUAGUAUUUAAGUACACAAAAUCUAGAGCUGAGAAUUUUUGCAUCCGACAAACCAUCCAACGGCCUCUUUAGUUACAGUCUCUAAUAAUUUCUAGGAUGAACACCACUUCCAUUUCAUUUGGCUUGCUUGUAAGUUAUAGACUUAUUGAGAGCAAGACUAGAAGAGGAAGAAGGAAGAGACUAUUUUUGCUGUUUUCUAGUAUUAAAUUUUGGCCAAGCAGUUUCCUGUUAGAAGUGAGCCGGCUGUUUUUAAAUGUCUAUGUGAUUUCUGAUAAAAUUUAAGCAAGCCCUGCUUGAAGAAAAUGCAAUUAAUUACUUACAGAAAAGAGGAAACUUUUAAGUGAAUUCCCUGUUGCCUUGUCAGAGAAAGGAUUGCUGCCUUUCUUCUCUUAUCCGGUGAAACAUAAAGGAUUUGGGGAAGUGGAAAGCAGAAAAAUAGUGCGGAAUCAUCCUAACCUGAUAUACAUCUUUAGAUAUAAAAGAAAAUAUUGGUACCAUGAUUUUCUUUAGUUAGGUAGCCUUUGGGUCAGGACAUAAGAUUGAAAAACAUGAACAUUGAACUCUGGAGAAAAGGAUGUGAGUCCUGACCUAAUGCACAAAAGGAGAGAAAGAUUUCCCCUCUCCAUGCAAGCACAGUUCAAUUUUCUUUCAUGUAUAAAUAAUAGCCAUACUGAAUAAAAGGUGCAAGAUAGAUCAUCUGUAAUGGCUUAAAAUAGCAGCCAAAAAUAGAAUCCUAGUAUAUAUAUAUAUAUAUAUAUAUAUUUAAGUCUUUUUAGUACAUUCUAGGACAAAGGCCUUGUCAAGAAGAAUAGAUAUUUUUGGACAAGCCAUCACAUCUUUUUCCCAUAACCUCAAAUGCAAAAUACCAACCAUCCAUGAAAUCAAAGAGAAGACGGGUUCCUCCUACAAGAAGAUAUUUGUAAUCAUACUGAUUAGGAUCAGCAUUCUCUCACUCUCUUUUAUACUCCUACUCCUCCUAUUAUUUUUUGUGAUUUCUCACCAGUUCUCGUCAUUAAAGAGGAAUAUCAGAAGGGGAGGAAACAAACACCAAGAGGGCAACAUUUAUUUUACUUAAGCUGACUUAACAGUAUGAGAAGUAUUUCACUUGUGCAGAUGAAAUCCCGUCUGCACUUAGUGAACAAGUAGCAAAAUGAUGUUUCCAAUAAAUUAAAUAUUAAAAAACAAUUAAUCACUGCACCAAUUAACACAGCAGCAGUCAGAAACCUUGUAAUCUGAAACAAUACAUAAUUCCCACUCUUUUUUUCUGCCAGUCAUAGAUUAUAUGCAUUACAUUAUAAUUUAAAAAUUUUUCUUCUUUACUCCAAUUUCAGGAACCCUGAGGGAAGCAUGUACUGAUAUGAAAUAAAAUACUGCAACGGGAUUUUCCCUGCAGUUGAAAUACUAUGUUUACUGAAUGCUCACCAAACUGUUAGAAUUGACCAUGCCUGGUAGAGCAGAAGCCAUUAAGAUUACAAAUCAAAUGAAUUGCAUUGCACAUAUGCACACUGAUGGGACUUCCAGCCUGCUGAGUUUCAUAUCAGCUGAGUACUUCAUGAAAGCAUGCAGCUAUGUCACCUCGGUGCCACAUGGAAGUCACAGCCUCCCAACUUCCACUGAGGACAAAGCUGGAAGGAGUGCAGUGUGCUACAGUCUACCUCUGUUACAGGAAGAAAAACAAAAAUAAUCAGAGUAAAUCUGAGUAAAACUGAAAAAUGAAGAAAAAAAUCCCACAACAUUUUACAGGGAAAAUAAAUUAACUGCACAUGUUCUGGCUAGGAAGAAAGUCAGCAUUAAGAGAAAGGAGAGGCACUGGGAGAACUCAGACUAAGGCAAUGACAUAGGUAGUGGAUGGGUAAAAAAAUAUACCAGUUACCUUGUAUUCUCCCUUCUUUGUGUGUGUGUAUGGAGUUAUGUGAUGGGACAGGUCUGUGAAGGACUAUAAACUCAAUGUCAAGUUUGCAAUCCAGUACGUGGCAAGGUAGCUGUUCUGUUGUCAGGAUCUGAGUGCCCUUUCAAACUCUGACAUAUAUAAUAGGAUUUGGAGGAUAUUUAUUGUUCUUGUUACAUGGAAAGAUAUGCAGCAUUCUCUCCAUUUUCUGUAUGAAACAGACUACAGUAUGUCCUGAAACAAAUCUAAAUUAAUGGUUUUGAAAGGAGGAAAUGCAGAUAUUAUUUGGCUGGCACACUGUGAAAUACGAGUAAACAACUUUGGACUACUCCCAGCACAAGAAAACCUUCUUACCAGUUUACUGCCCCAAUCUACUCAGUGUAUCCUAUCAAGUAUUUCAGAGUAUGCACACAUUCUUUUCUUUACAUUUUCUCUUCCUUUCCCUUCCCUUCUGCCAUCCUCCCAGACUCUCUUCUCUCACAAUCACAGCUCUAUCAACAUGUUCCAACUAAUUCCUGCAUCCAUUCAAUAUGGCUGUAUCUAACAAGGUGUUUGACUCUGGAACAUUUGCAGGUAAUUCCCACUGGACAUGGACUGCUCCCAGAAAGGCAGAGAUCCUGUAUUUCCUGGCUUUCAGAAAUCAAUACUCAGAAAAAAUGGAAAACAUACCAGGAAACUUUCAUUAAUAAAGUUUUUGGCUUUUUGUCAUUGAAUACAUACGAUGAAUAAACAAGCUCAAUGUGGAAUCAAGUUGAAAUACUAACAUUCAAACAUAGAAGAGGUGGUUGUAUGUCCAAAUGGGCAAAACAGAUACAAGAAAGAAAGCAAUGAGUCAAGAAUAAAGGCACUGUCUAGCAAAGAUAGGCAUUCGGAACAUGGCAAAUAAUGCCAGAUCAGCCAAGUAGAUACUCUUUUGCUCUCAACAUAUAAAAUAGGGACAUGACACUAUUUUUUAACUUUAUCAGAGAAAUACCAAGAGACAUCAAUUUGAUGAUUGAUCUUAUUGUUUCUUCAUAUAUUACAACUAAUUUCCAUGAUGAACUUGUAUGUUCCUAUUCCUACAACAAGUCUAAUAUAUCUUCAGUUUCAUAAUUUCUCCUCUAAAUGUGUUUAUUAAGUGAAAAUGGUUUUGAAAUUCCACUGUUGUAAGUUACAAGAAGUGCAUUUAGAUGACAAAGAUUAUCCCUUUACCUCUUGCUUGUCUUUGUGAUCAAUGAACUUUGGUAUAUUAUUUUAAAAAUUGAUGCUGUGAUUCACUUUCACAGCAUGAUUGAGGAGUAAGUUUUGUAAAGUGUUAAGUGACACCCUAGCCUGACCCAGAUGGUUUAAAUCUCUCACCAUUUUAUAAAAGACAUAUCCCCCUGUGACAGAAAGAUUUGUUUAAUAUAUACAAAAGCUUAUGGAUAUUCUGAAUAGUUGAAUCCUUAUAUGUUAUCAGGCAGGCCUUGUGUGAUGGCAAGUAUUUGUGAACCACAGAUUUUUUCUUUAUUAUGUGGAAGAGGUACUCUGAUAAUUUCAAUUUCCUUUUUACACUGGUAGAAAAUCAAAUAAUAAAGUCCAGUGAGAUGACAAUACACAGAUUUACUUCUUCUUUCUCAAAGGCAGAAGACCUCUAGUUCUGGAGCAAUUCAUCCUCUGGAUCAGCUUUCUUUUUAUCGCCUCCAGAGAUCCCAGAAUUAAAUCAUUUAUCACGAAAAAAGUUCACUUAUGUCCAGCUUGCUUUGUAGAGCAUGGAAAGAAUUGGCUUAUUUAAGGCAAACGUGUAAUAUUUCCACAAUUCUUUGUUGUUGGCUUCUCCCCCCCCCCCUCCCCCCAGUAUGAAUAAGAGCAGAAUAUAUCUCACUUAAGAAAAAUACAACAUUUCUGCAUUCCAAGUCUAAGAAGAUCUGAGAUGCAAAAUUUAAAGGUGAGAGACUUAAUGUAUCCAUGCUUAAUGGUCUGUAAUACAAACGAGAAAUCCCAAUAAUGCUCUUAUGUGCCUGUUCUUAUAGCUAUUUAUAUCAAUUUUAUACUAACUUCUUUCAUUUCUAUCACUUCUAACUAUGAUUUAACCCUCUGAACAAGUGGCUGAGCUGAAAGCUGAAAGGCAGCAGAAAUCAUUUGAAGCAGAACAUUCUUUUGCUCCAUGAGCAACAGUCCUUUACUUUGCCACACUGGAAUGUGCUAGUGCCUCUUAGAGACAGACUUGGCUCCCUAGAAAACACUGCAAAGCAGGGCUUGGAGAAAACUUGCAUGAGUAAUCCCAUUUGUUUCAUUGUGCUGCUGUGAAUAAUUUCAGUCUCUUAAAAGGAAUAGGUUGGGCAUGUGUGUUGAGAAGUUCAGCUGCAUUUCCUUAUGCACGGGCAGGGAAACAGACACCUCCAUGCCCAGAUCCAAAUUUUAAGUCUUUGUAGCAUUUAUGUCCUAAGAUGUGUGCAUUUUUCCAUAGGGGCACCACCCUCCCCAGUAUGCAAAUUUAUGAGACUAGAAUAUCACUGAAACAUAAACUUAUUUCAUUUGCACUGAAAUAGCUCUUACUUCUAGCCCAGAAAGAAGGACUAUAGUGUGAUCUACUCUCAGUCAUGCUCCCAAGGUGGAAAAUAGAGAAGUUCUUUUGUCUUUUACAAAUAUCACAGUCACAUAGGAAAAGAACACUCCAUUCCUGCAGCCUCAUUCAAGCAACCUCACAGACGUUAGUCACCACCUUGAUUUCAAUAGGAUGAGGUACACCAGCAUGAUAACAAACUUCUCUGCCUGACUGGAGUUAAGCUAUACUUUAACACAUCAGUCCCACUUAGUUCAAAAGGAAUGGUUCUUUUUUAAAGACCCUCCCAAGUAUCAUAAGAGCUUUACUCAAAUAAGUCUCAGCCCUUUAAUGAAUUUUCCGCAAUUGCUACAACUGCAUACAGCCCCGUCAGCUUCAACUAGGGUCCAUCAGGGACUCAUUGCAAGACCAGGGUUUACAGGCAGGCUGUCCAGAAUGAAUGGUUUAACUAAAGGCAUGGUGUUAAAAUGAUUUAGAUUGACAGUUGAUAUUAAGUGAAACUACCUGGGUAGACACACACCAGUUUAGUACAUUACAAUUACAGGGACCAGCAAUUUACAGUUUGAAACCCCAGAAGCACCCCCACUUCACCUCACAGAGGCUUAGCACUGCAACCUAAUAGCCUUUGUUUUCUUACAGCGCUCAGGAGAGCCAUUCUACCUGGUGUGUAAGCAAAGAAGUCUGCAGAAUGAUCUGUGCCUAAGGACAACCUUUCUUCCUGUCCUACAACACUGCUGGCCCAGCCUGACCUGUCCAUUCUCUGCACCUCUGCUCACCUGGCACAGCCAGGCAGGGCAGUUUGUUGGCUUCUGGCUGUGCUGAUUCUCUUCAUGAUCCCACUUGAUCCAGAAGGAGAAAGUGAAUUUGCAAGCACUGGCUCUUGAAGUGUCAUCAGAGAUGCUUCUGAUGUAAAGUAGGCUUUUUAAAUGUCACAUAAAUAAAAUAAAAGAUUUUUUUCCUGGCCUCUCAAUCUUA